GAUGAACGCUGGCGGCGUGCCUAAUACAUGCAAGUCGAGCGAACGGACGAGAAGCUUGCUUUUCUGAUGUUAGCGGCGGACGGGUGAGUAACACGUGGAUAACCUACCUAUAAGACUGGGAUAACUUCGGGAAACCGGAGCUAAUACCGGAUAAUAUUUUGAACCGCAUGGUUCAAAAGUGAAAGACGGUCUUGCUGUCACUUAUAGAUGGAUCCGCGCUGCAUUAGCUAGUUGGUAAGGUAACGGCUUACCAAGGCAACGAUGCAUAGCCGACCUGAGAGGGUGGUCGGCCACACUGGAACUGAGACACCGUCCAGACUCCUACGGGAGGCAGCAGUAGGGAAUCUUCCGCAAAGGGCGAAAGCCUGACGGAGCAACGCCGCGUGAGUGAUGAAGGUCUUCGGAUCGUAAAACUCUGUUAUUAGGGAAGAACAUAUGUGUAAGUAACUGUGCACAUCUUGACGGUACCUAAUCAGAAAGCCACGGCUAACUACGUG
rnacentral:rRNA from 1 species